rnacentral:rRNA from 1 species
ACGAACGCUGGCGGCGUGCUUAACACAUGCAAGUCGAACGGAAAGGCCCUGCUUUUGUGGGGUGCUCGAGUGGCGAACGGGUGAGUAACACGUGAGUAACCUGCCCUUGACUUUGGGAUAACUUCAGGAAACUGGGGCUAAUACCGGCUAGGAGCUCCUGCUGCAUGGUGGGGGUUGGAAAGUUUCGGCGGUUGGGGAUGGACUCGCGGCUUAUCAGCUUGUUGGUGGGGUAGUGGCUUACCAAGGCCUUGACGGGUAGCCGGCCUGAGAGGGUGACCGGCCACAUUGGGACUGAGAUACGGCCCAGACUCCUACGGGAGGCAGCAGUGGGGAAUAUUGCACAAUGGGCGGAAGCCUGAUGCAGCAACGCCGCGUGCGGGAUGACGGCCUUCGGGUUGUAAACCGCUUUCGCCUGUGACGAAGCGUGAGUGACGGUAAUGGGUAAAGAAGCACCGGCUAACUACGUG